rnacentral:rRNA from 1 species
GUGAGGAAUAUUGCGCAAUGGAGGCAACUCUGACGCAGCCAUGCCGCGUGCAGGAAGAAGGCGCUACGCGUUGUAAACUGCUUUUAACCGGGAAGAAACCCCAGGACGUGUCCUGGGUUGACGGUACCGGAGGAAUAAGCACCGGCUAACUUCGUGCCAGCAGCCGCGGUAAUACGAAGGGUGCAAGCGUUAUCCGGAUUCAUUGGGUUUAAGGGGUGCGUAGGCGGAGCGUUAAGUCAGUGGUGAAAUCCUGCAGCUUAACUGUAGACUUGCCAUUGAUACUGGCGCUCUUGAGUGCGCUUGAAGUGGGCGGAAUGUGUCGUGUAGCGGUGAAAUGCUUAGAUAUGGCACAGAACACCAAUUGCGAAGGCAGCUCACUAAGGCGAUACUGACGCUGAGGCACGAAAGCGUGGGGAUCGAACAGGAUUAGAAACCCUUGUAGUCC